rnacentral:rRNA from 1 species
UACGUAGGUGGCAAGCGUUGUCCGGAUUUACUGGGCGUAAAGAGCGCGCAGGCGGUCGUACAAGUCGCGUGUGAAAGCCCCCGGCUCAACUGGGGAGGGUCACGCGAUACUGUUCGACUCGAAGGCAGGAGAGGGAAGCGGAAUUCCCGGUGUAGUGGUGAAAUGCGCAGAUAUCAGGAGGAACACCAAUGGCGAAGGCAGCUCGCUGGAACGGUACUGACGCUGAGGCGCGAAAGCGUGGGGAGCAAACAGG